rnacentral:rRNA from 1 species
AUUGAACGCUGGCGGAAUGCUUUACACAUGCAAGUCGAACGGCAGCACGGACUUCGGUCUGGUGGCGAGUGGCGAACGGGUGAGUAAUGUAUCGGAACGUGCCCAGUCGUGGGGGAUAACGUAGUGAAAAUUACGCUAAUACCGCAUACGAUCUAUGGAUGAAAGCGGGGGAUCGCAAGACCUCGCGCGAUUGGAGCGGCCGAUAUCAGAUUCGGUAGUUGGUGGGGUAAAGGCACACCAAGCCAACGAUCUGUAGCUGGUCUGAGAGGACGAACAGCCACACUGGAACUGAGACACGGUCCAGACUCCUACGGGAGGCAGCAGUGGGGAAUGUUGGACAAUGGGCGAAAGCCUGAUCCAGCCAUUCCGCGGGCAGGAUGAAGGCCCUCGGGUUGUAAACUGCUUUUGUACAGAACGAAAAGGUUUCUACUAAUACUAGGAGCUCAUGACGGUACUGUAAGAAUAAGCACCGGCUAACUACGUGCCAGCAGCCGCAGUAA